UUUAACAUUAUUUGGGGGACGACCACGUU
rnacentral:sRNA from 1 species